UACAGAGGGGGCAAGCGUUGUUCGGAAUUACUGGGCGUAAAGGGCGCGUAGGCGGCCUGCUAAGUCGAACGUGAAAUCCCUGGGCUCAACCCAGGAACUGCGUCCGAUACUGGUUGGCUUGAAUUCGGGAGAGGGAUGCGGAAUUCCAGGUGUAGCGGUGAAAUGCGUAGAUAUCUGGAGGAACACCGGUGGCGAAGGCGGCAUCCUGGACCGAGAUUGACGCUGAGGCGCGAAAGCCAGGGGAGCAAACGGG
rnacentral:rRNA from 1 species